CUACACCCAUGAUCAACAUGUUAUUACACAUUUGACCCAGUAGGUGGUGCUUAAGCAAUGACAGGUCAUAAUUUGCUCCAGUGUCCCAGGAAUUUUGCAUUUGUAGUUUGUUUCCUUUUCAAGACUGAAGUUAAUAUAAACGGAUGCAGUUUUUUCCCUCUCCCUUUAGAAUGGGUUGUGUGCUGGAGUAACAAAGAGUAAUUGUUAUGCAGCGUGAGGGUCUUGAUUUCCAACAAGGAGUGGUCUGAAGAGGAGCAGACUGACCAGAAUAUACUAUAAAAGCAUUGAUCGCUGGAAUUCUGAAGGCUGGAGACGGAGCAGAGAACACGCAGACUUCAUCAUGAACUUCCAGGGCAUAUUUUAUCAUCUCUGCUUCUUUCACACUGCUCUGAGCCUGCAGCAUGUGAGGUGGUGCACUAUCUCUGAGCAAGAACAGGCCAAGUGUAAUGACAUGAGCGCAGCCUUCACUGAUGCCAACAUCCUUCCCAAUGUAUUGUGUGUUAGAGGCGGCUCAGCCAUUAACUGCACCCAUAUGAUCAAGAACAAUUUGGCAGAUGCGGUGACAUUGGAUGGUGGCACCAUUUAUCAAGCUGGAAAGGAACAUAAUCUGAAACCUGUGGUUGGAGAAGUAUAUGAUCAAGAAAUUGGCACUUCAUACUAUGCAGUGGCUGUUGUCAGAAAAAAUUCCUUCAUUAGCAUCAACAGUUUGAAGGGUGUAAAGUCAUGCCACACAGGCAUCAACAGAACAGUUGGCUGGAAUGUUCCUGUUGGCUACCUCAUUGAUAGUGGUCGCAUGUCAGUGAUGGGAUGCAGUGUUCCAAAAGCUGUUAGUGAAUAUUUCAGUGCAAGCUGUGUUCCUGGAGCCAAUAAUGUAAAUUACCCCAAAUCCCUCUGUCAGCUCUGUAAAGGGGACGCAUCUGGGCAGGACAAAUGUGAAAGAAAUUCAAAAGAGCAGUAUUAUGACUACAGCGGGGCUUUCAGGUGUUUAGCUGAAGGAGCUGGAGAUGUCGCCUUUGUGAAGCACAGCACAGUGUCUGAAAACACAGAUGGCCAGACUCCUUCCUCAUGGGCCCAAGAGCUUCACUCCAGGGACUUCCAGCUUCUCUGCCGCGAUGGCAGCACAGCUGAGGUUACAGACUGGAGGAAAUGCCACCUGGCCCGAGUUCCAGCUCAUGCUGUUGUCGUCAGACCUGACACCGAUGGGUCACUCAUCUUCCAGAUGCUUAAGCAGGGGCAGCAAAGAUUUCAGAUGUUUGACUCUGCAGCUUACAAUGCAAAGAAUCUUCUCUUCAAAGACACCACCACAGAAUUGGUUCCAAUCACAAAUCAGAACUACCAGGCUUGGCUGGGUGAUGAAUAUAUGCAUGCCAUGCAAGGCUUGAGCUGCGAUCCCACCAGGUUACCAGAAAGCCUGCGAUGGUGCGUUGUGCUCACUGAGGAGAUCUGGAAAUGUAGUGAAAUGGCUGUUGCCUUUAAAAAAAAGAACUUGAAACCAGAGAUCCAGUGUGUUUCAGCCAAGACAACAGAACAGUGUAUGGAAAUGAUCCAGAAAAAAGAAAGUGAUGCUGUAAGUGUGGAUGGAGUUGAUAUUUACACAGCUGGAAACAUGUAUGGCCUAGUGCCAGCUGCUGGGGAAAGUUACUCUGCUGAUGACAACAGCAACAUGUACUAUGCUGUGGCAUUAGUGAAACGGAACAAUUCCAAUGCUUUCACCAUCAAUGAUCUGAAAGGGAAAAAGUCCUGCCACACAGGAUAUGGGAGAAUGGCUGGAUGGAACAUCCCUAUUGGUGUUCUAAUUAAAAGGGGCUUUAUUAGGCCCAUGGACUGCAAUAUUCCUCAAGCUGUGAGUGACUUUUUCUCCGCUAGCUGUGUGCCUGCAGCCAAGAUGGACAAUUACCCAUCAAAACUCUGUGAGCUUUGCAUUGGCGAUAAUAGUGGAAACAAUAAAUGCGAUGCAAGUACCCAGGAACGUUAUUAUAGCUACAGUGGAGCCUUCAGGUGUCUGAUGGAGGAUUCUGGUGAUGUGGCCUUUGUCAAGCAUUCAACAGUUUUUGAGAACACCGAUGGUAACAAUGCUGAUUCCUGGGCUCUUCACCUGCAGUCCAGCGACUUCCAGUUACUGUGUCCAAAUGGAGCCCGUGCUGAAAUCACUCAGUUUGCUCAGUGUCACUUGGCUCAGGUGCCUGCCCAGGUUGUCAUGGUCCACCCAGACACCAACAUUUUUGCUGUAUAUGGACUACUGGACAAAGCUCAGGAUUUCUUUGGAAAUGACAGCAAUGGAAAUGGAUUCAAAAUGUUUGAUUCCUCAGAUUUCCUAGGAACAGAUUUGAUCUUUAAAGAUUCCACCGUUAAGAUUGUACCAGUAGGAGAGAAAACAACCUAUGCAGAAUGGCUGGGAAGUGAAUACAUAGAUUCUCUUAAAGGGAUGCAAUCACCACAGUGCUCUGGGGCAGCUGCAAUAUCCAUGAACAUCAUUGUGCUGCCGGCGGCUAGUGUCCUUCUGAUUAGAUUCUACUCGUGAUCAUUAGGCCGUUCCUUGGAUUAACAGAUAUUCAGCAUAAUAAACUGAAAUACUGUGACCAAUGCCAGAUGCUUCAGAGGGAAUGACCAGAACAGGGGAAGUAUCAAGUGAUCCAUCCCCUGUUGUCCACGCCUAGCAUCUGUAAGUCCGAGGUGUAGGAACACAGGGUUGCAUCCCUAACCAUCAUGGCAAAUAGCCAUUGAUGGACCUAUCCUCUAUAAACUUAUCUAAUUCUUUUUUGAAGCCUGUUAUUGUCUUGGUCUUCACAACAUCCCCUGACAACAAGUUACACAGAUUGACUGUGUGUUGUGUGAAGAAGUGCUUCCUUUUGUUUGUUUUAAACCUGCUGCAUAUUAAUUUCAUUGGGAGAGCUCCUGCUUCUUGUGGUCUGCAUGUCUUUCUGUACAAGAAAUCUGUAGUAUAAACAGACAACUGCAAUAUGUAUGUGCAUUUGUGUAAUUAAUAUUUAGUUGCCAGGUCAGUGUGCCUGCUUCUUAAGGGAUCCCCUAUUUUAACACUAAUAAAGAAUGUUUUUAAAAACA